rnacentral:rRNA from 1 species
GCCGCGGUAAUACGUAGGGGGCUCGCGUUAUCCGGAUUUACUGGGCGUAAAGGGUGCGUAGGCGGUCUUUCAAGUCAGGAGUGAAAGGCUACGGCUCAACCGUAGUAAGCUCUUGAAACUGGGAGACUUGGGUGCAGGAGAGGAGAGUGGAAUUCCUAGUGUAGCGGUGAAAUGCGUAGAUAUUAGGAGGAACACCAGUUGCGAAGGCGGCUCUCUGGACUGUAACUGACGCUGAGGCACGAAAGCGUGGGGAGCAAACAGGAUUAGAUAC